GCUGUCUCCUGUCAGCCCUUCCAUGCUCUCCAUUUGUCUUCUUUCCUCAUAUAGGCACUAAUUAUAUAUAGGAAGUGGAAAACAGAGUAAUUUCCAAGCACUGUUUGUUUUUCUUGAAACUUAUCAAACCCUGCUUUUGUGGGCUCAUUCUUCACUCCACAGUCCAAAUCUCCCAGGGAUUAUUUUCAUCUAAUUUCCUGUUUUAUUCUCCUUUGCCUGAUGCUGGAGGUUAUAUUAAUAGUAAAUGGAUGCGGCUGGUUGAAAGUGCUGACAGACAUUAGUGAUGCGGGUAACACACUGUUUCAGGUAUACUCUCACACGUUGCAAGAAGAUGAAGGGGUUUUCCCAUAGAGAUGUGCAUAUACGUACAUCUUCAGAGCAUACAUGCACGCACACACACACAUGUUAAUCUGUGCACACAUUAACAUGUAUAUUGAAAUGCAUACAAAUGUAUGAAUUGUGUGUACAUAUUAAUCCACGCUCCGAGACAUGAGGUCUCUUUAAUGAGCAGUCUCUUCAGUAUGUCUUUCUGCAAACCACCUUCCUCUCCAUACAUUUUCUAACUGAGGAAGUGAAAGAGCAGAGGCGUGGAGAAAAUAAAUGAUUAGGACCUGCGAGUGAGAUCAGAGUGGAAGGUAGAGCAGCAGACAGAGGUCUGUACAGUAACCCAGUGCAUUCAAAACGGAUUCGUUCAGGAACCUUUCUCAUUACUGCAAGGUGGAAGAAUUUGCUGUCAGGGUGUGGCUUGGCCAAAUGGGAGGACCAUUCCACAAACCCAUGGGGGGAGACAGGAAUGAUACAGUUAAAUAAACACUCCGAAGGAAAUAUUCUGCGGGUGACUCAAUGUUGAUUCAGUUUCCAUAUUACACCCUUCCUAUCAGUCAAAUAACACCUGACAGUUUGGCAGACACAUUAGUCCUGCAUUGCACUCAAAGAGGCACUGGAUGGCAUACAGUGCCAAGAAACACACCCUAAUUCCAAGAUAAAGGCCGUUCGCUUUGAACUGUAUUUUGACUCCCACAGACUAUGAUUUAAGUGUGCAUGUCAGGUGGGGUGAUAUUCAAAAAUCACUGUAGGCCUUUUUAAAAUCCUGCUAGCGAUGAUAUUAUUCUCAUUUAGAAAUGUGCUCAUUUAGCUGAAAUCCCAUAUUCCAAAAAUAAUUAAAAAAAGAUGUUGACAGCUUCCCCAAUAUGAUUAUUUAAAAAAUGUAAUGAAGUGAUGAAAUGGCCAAGUGUAGACUUGAAACAUAUAUUUGAAGUACAUCUCAACUCCAACCUGGCUCUUCCCUGCUUCUCAUUAAUGAAGGGCUUCUUCCUUGGUUUGUGGGACUUCAGUCCUGCUUCUAGAACGCUGAUACAAACUGUCCCAGAAGUGAACUUCACACCUACACUUAAUGUUUCCCAUUCUUUUUGAAGGUCACUUUAUUUUGUCCUUCGAUUCCAGGGGCAGUGUCAGAUAAGAUGCAUUAGAAUGUCGCUUCCGCCUUUUACCUGGCUGGUUUCUGGUCUUUCCCAGUGUCUCCUGCUUCACCUCGUUCUUGUUGCUGUAGUCUUACUGUAUAAAUUUUGAGCCUGAAAGCAACUUAACGUUCACUGUAGCCUUCUGCCAGCAGAACCAGGAUUAAACCAGGAUUUAACAACGCAGAUUCUUAAAAAGUAUGGAGUGGUCACUUAAUGUUUUAUAAUGAGUAGGCAUGUGCCAACAGUUAUAGGUAUCGUAACUCCCAAGCCCAUGUAUAAGAGAUGUGGGAUACUUUGAGCGUUAACUGGUAUGACGCUUUAAUCCAGCCCAGUGGUCAUGGUCUUAGGUCUCUUUGAUCUUCUUCUGUAAAUAAAGGAACCAGAAACAAUAAACAGAGCAAUGGCCAUUUGCUUAUUUUGGUGUACGACUGUAAGGCAGCUCUCUUGAUUCACAGUUUGACUCACAAUCUGUUAUGUGUGCUCUGAAUCUGUCGUUUUUGGGUUCCUCGAAAAUGACAAACUAGGCUGUGAUUCCUGUAUCUGAAGCCAAUUAUUGCAUAUUAAAAUUUUAGUUCUGUCUGGUUCGCCAUAUAGUUUCAGAUGUGAAAAGGUGUUAUGGUUGGAAUCUUUACUAGUGCACAUCUUGAAUAUCCUGAGCUUGAACAUCCAAAAAAUUAUUUUUGCUCUGAACGAGUGGCACUGAACUGUGUCGAUGAAUAAACGUUUCCUUAAUGAAUAGCCGCUUUUGAAAAUAAAUAAUAAUUAUGACCCAUGCGGAAGAGCAAAUCAAAUGGAGCUGACAACUCAGUGAGACAGAAGACAUAACUCCUGACAGUCCAGUCCGUGUUUCUGAAGUGGUGCUGAUGAGAGUCAGCUCCGUGUGUCUGAGGUGGUGCUGAUGGGACUCGGCUCCAUGUCUCUGAGGUGGUGCUGAUGGGAUUGGGCUCCGUGUGUCUGAGGUGGUGCUGAUGGGAGUCGGGUCCGUGUGUCUGAGGUGGUGCUGAUGAGAGUCGAGUCCGUGUGUCUGAGGUGGUGUUGAUGGGAGUCGGGUCCGUGUUUCUGAGGUGGUGCUGAUGGGAGUCGGGUCCGUGUGUCUGAGGUGGUGCUGAUGGGAGUCGGCUCCGUGUUUCUGAGGUGGUGCUGAUGGGAGUCGGGUCCGUGUGUCUGAGGUGGUGCUGAUGGGACUCGGCUCCGUGUGUCUGAGGUGGUGCUGAUAGCAGUCGGGUCCGUGUGUCUGAGGUGGUGCUUAGGGGUGUGUAUGGGUGCAGUAUCAUGUUGGAAUAUGGGAACAUCGUGGUUGCACCAUACGCUGCAGUUGGUCCUGUGAAAUAACCCCAUAGUCCUUGAUUGUCAUAAAACUAUACAUUGCAUUUACUUGACCUAAUGAGUCCCACCAAUUAGCUGAGUAUACCCACUGACACUGUGCAUGGCAGUCAUCCUUUUUCAGUAACUGUUUUGCUCAGGUUUCUUCCAUCUCCAACUUUCAGCCAAUGUUGCAUUUUGAUGCAGUUUGUUUGGCAGGCACCAUUAUGAUUUCAAAGGCAUUAUUUUUCAAUUUUUGUAACCAAUGCACCUGUAAUGCUGGCACCGACCCUAUGACUUUGUGAAACUGUUAAUCACUUCAUUUUUCUCUGAAAGCUCACAUAUCAAAGUGUCGGAUCUCUUCUGUAGUUCACACAUACUGCUAAUUGGCCUUCUGCCCACAGUGACUCACUUUUUCAGGCCUGGCUGUUUUUCUAAUUGCCGUGUACUUACUUCAAAGUUAAUGCUCUUUCUCAUGUGGUGUCCCCAUUACUUUCUUUCCACCCCCAGUAUACUCUAUGUAUAGAUGUAUAAGGAACUAUCAGAUUUCCUAUGCCUGAGGAAAUCUACGAUGGCUAUGUCUAGAGUGAGAGCUAAGCGAUAGUAUUCUUGUACAUGCUGUGUACCACCUGUUCCUUGUUCCCUGUGAGUGUUAUAGAUAUGUUCUCUCUAAUUUUUGCAUAAAAAAUUGGGUCAGAGAGCUGUGAGCUUAUAGCCUCAGUGAAUGUUCUUGAACUUACCUGCAUAACAAUAUUCAUAUUUCUGUUGCAACACUAUUGCCAACUGUCUUGGUAUUUUAUUUGUUUGUUCAUAUAUCAGAUAUGUUGAGUGACGAUUAUUCCUGGAUUUUGUUUGCAAUACCUGAAGCAAAAAAUUAUAGUAUGAUGAUGUAAUUAUAGCACUAUUGGUUAAUCAAAAGUGCAAAUCUAUGCACCUACACUGAAUAGUUCCUUUUAAUUUUGCACUUCCCAUAAGCUUUGAUAACUAAUUUAAUCAUGAUUUCCCUUUUUCCCCACUGAAAGAGUUCCGUAUUUCUGUUCUCUGCUGUGUAAUUUUGUAUAUGCUGCUGUUGCAGUUAGCCUCUAUGUAAUGCUGUCUCCUUCAGUUUGGCUCAGUGUUCCUCCUCCCAGAAGGAGCCUCAGGGCUCACUAGACAGAGACGUGCCUUCCAUCCAUUCAUCAUUCAACAUUUCCGUUGUUGAUGUCACUCCAUUUGUGUACUUAUUAAGCUAUCUCUACUUACUCAUGCGCCCAUAAAAGUUUCUGACAUGCUAUUGGCCUGCUUGUUGACAUACAUUCAUUAUCACUUAAACCUGUCGGUAUACUUGAGGUAUGCAAAAGUGACAAUCAGAAAUUCAAGUUAAUGCCCUAAAUCUACUGGGCGGGUUAUGACAGUAGAUGAACGUGUUAUCUGCUGUCGUAUCAGGCUGCUAGUGUGGUCUGACGUUGGGAGUCAAACAAGCAAGGGCUUGAGCUGAGAAUUUUUAUAUAAAAAGAUAAGGUGGGAAUGAAUCAUUUUGAUUUACGUUCUUUGAGGGGAGUGACAGCAUUCUUCUGCUUGUUUCCUGAUUCACCUCAAAGGAAAAUCACACAGAGUGCAGGGUGUGCUGACUCACACUAACAGCAGGUUGGAGGUCAGAUUCCUAAUCAUUAUGAUCCUGCAUUGGGAAAGAGAUUCCACUCAGUUUGAAACUAGUCCGGGCGAAGCCAGAUCUCAGUCUCUGGCCUGGUGGGGAUUACAGGGAUUUUUGUGCAUGUUAACGACCAGCUGUAGAACGGAAGUCCAAAGUGAAGGUGUGCUUCUCUAACAGCUGUUUUUUUGCUCUGAUAAUCCUCUUGACUAAGGUUCUCCACACAGCCACGUACCAACCCCCUCAAACAGCAAUUUCCUUUCCUGUCGCAGUUGUGGUCUUUAUUUCCCCUCGGCCAAAAAAAUGUGACUUUUCAUUGUUUCCCUAGACUGGCGCUAGACCAAUAAACAGGACACUUACACUCAAGCAUUAAGUGGUAGCAUUGUGCUUAGAAAACCAGACUCAGGACUUCAGAUUCAAAGAUUCAGAUCUGAAGAGGCAUUCUGUUGUUGAGUACCCUUGAGUUAGGUAUCCGUACCAGUUAAAGAGCUGCUGAUGUUGAUAUCCAUCUGUCCUUCUGAGUAUUUGCAUAAUAAUCUGUUAAGAUUCACUUCCUCCACCCAUAAAGCAGACCAUCGGGGUCUGCAAUCCCCCCACCCCUCCGAUCUCUGCUUCUCUGUCUUGCUCCAGUGUUCUGUUUAUUUUACUUGGCCAUCAGCACUCUUCUCCCUGUGGACGGGGGACAGCUCAGUCCUGUGCCGUCCAAGUGGGGAAGCCCUUAAGUAAAUAAUUCGCUUUUUCUGGCCUUUUGUUACACUGAACACCCUUCUUCAGCCACAAAAACUUGGUGUGGAUUCCUCUGUCCCUUUAUUUAGCUCUCAUCUAUUCAUCUUUUCAAUCAUCUAUUCAUUCAUUCAUUCAUUCAUUUGUCUGCCCUAUUCUCUUCCCAACAACAAGCAACUCUUCUUUUGCAAGGAUAGCCGCACCGGAGCCCCUCCCCUCUCUGCCCCCGCAGUUUUACUUGCAUGGUAAACAAACAAAUUUUGGUCUUUCCUCUUCCCAGCCAACUGCUCGGUGCUAAAUUAGAAGGCAUUUGGACAGCAAGUGGCCCGUGGGAGGGAAAGACAAAGGACAUGUAAAAGCAGUCAGCCUAAUGCAUUUUCACAUACAUUUCUUAUCUCUAUAAUUAUUGUUAUUUCUUUUUUAUCUUUUUCAGCCUUUAUUCUGAGUUCUUCCUCACUUUUUCUUUGACGUGGCUUGUGGAUGCUAAAUGCAGUCACAGUUACUCCUGUGAUUUGUCCAUUCGCAGUUUUUGUAACCUUAAUAAUGGUAUUGUUUUGCGUAUGCCAUCCGACUAAUGAAAUGUCACUAGUACUGCAGUGUUAUUUGUAUUUUUUUAUUUUAAAAUGGCACAGUGUUGGCUGGCUUUGCCGCUUGUGAUGUAUAUGUAGACAGAUGAGAUUUAUGGCUUGUAUCAGGUUGAGUUUGUGUGGCCUGUAUGUCAUUAGGUGUGUAAUUGUGUGGGGGCAGCUACUUGAUGUCAGGGUUCAAAUGAAAACUAUUCCAAAUUGUGUAGAUUGAAUUUGUCAAGAAAUCCAUAAUA